AUUGAACGCUGGCGGCAGGCUUAACACAUGCAAGUCGAGCGGGGUGAUGGUGCUUGCACUAUCACUUAGCGGCGGACGGGUGAGUAAUGCUUAGGAAUCUGCCUAUUAGUGGGGGACAACAUCUCGAAAGGGAUGCUAAUACCGCAUACGUCCUGCGGGAGAAAGCAGGGGAUCACUUGUGACCUUGCGCUAAUAGAUGAGCCUAAGUCGGAUUAGCUAGUUGGUGGGGUAAAGGCCUACCAAGGCGACGAUCUGUAGCGGGUCUGAGAGGAUGAUCCGCCACACUGGGACUGAGACACGGCCCAGACUCCUACGGGAGGCAGCAGUGGGGAAUAUUGGACAAUGGGGGAAACCCUGAUCCGGCCAUGCCGCGUGUGUGAAGAAGGCCUUAUGGUUGUAAAGCACUUUAAGCGAGGAGGAGGCUACUGAGACUAAUACUCUUGGAUAGUGGACGUUACUCGCAGAAUAAGCACCGGCUAACUCUGUGCCAGCCGCCGCAGUAA
rnacentral:rRNA from 1 species